AACUUUGUUGGAAAUUGAAUGUACAUCUCUUUAUGUGCAGAAACUGGGAUCAGUGUCUUUUUAAGCAAGAUUGUCAAGUUGGGAGCAGUCAGAAUAAGUGGAAUGGUUGAAAGGCUACAAUUACCUCAGCAGCUAAGACAAAAUAUAUAAUGUCUUUUCCAGCGAAUCCUAAACCAAUGGACGUCGCUCUUCGCACAAUCGCCAUAUCGACCAAAUCAUUUUGUCUUACUUCUAUUGAGUUGCAAAGAUAUCACAACUGAACCUAACCUUUAGGAAGAUUAUAUACAACUACAGAAAGCAACCACAAUGCAAACCACAAGUUUUCCGUAGCGUAUUUGUUGACUGGUCAUCCGCACACCGUAAUGGACCAUGCAAAUAGAGAACUGGAUAGGAGCACAUUGAUAUCAUUUCAUUUUACAUUGAAGUUUUCAUCCUCUCUGUAUUAAUUGAUUAUGCAUGUGCGCAGAUGGAUGCUAUAAUUUCACAUAGCUCGAAAAGCUAUUAUGCGUGUGUCGGGGAUAGCACUCAUGCCGAGUAUCCAAUUUUUAGAAGGUAAUGUUUUGCUUGUUU